GACGAACGCUGGCGGCGCGCCUAACACAUGCAAGUCGAACGAGCGAGAGAGAGCUUGCUUUCUUGAGCGAGUGGCGAACGGGUGAGUAACGCGUGAGGAACCUGCCUCAAAGAGGGGGACAACAGUUGGAAACGACUGCUAAUACCGCAUAAGCCCACGGUGCCGCAUGGCACAGAGGGAAAAGGAGCAAUCCGCUUUGAGAUGGCCUCGCGUCCGAUUAGCUAGUUGGUGAGGUAACGGCCCACCAAGGCGACGAUCGGUAGCCGGACUGAGAGGUUGAACGGCCACAUUGGGACUGAGACACGGCCCAGACUCCUACGGGAGGCAGCAGUGGGGAAUAUUGCAAAAUGGGGGAAACCCUGAUGCAGCGACGCCGCGUGGAGGAAGAAGGUCUUCGGAUUGUAAACUCCUGUUGUUGGGGAAGAUAAUGACGGUACCCAACAAGGAAGUGACGGCUAACUACGUG
rnacentral:rRNA from 1 species